GACGUAGGGCGCGAGCGUUGUCCGGAUUUAUUGGGCGUAAAGAGCUCGUAGGCGGCUUGUCACGUCGUCCGUGAAAACCUGCAGCUCAACUGCAGGCUUGCGGUCGAUACGGGCAGGCUGGAGUUCGGUAGGGGAGACUGGAAUUCCUGGUGUAGCGGUGAAAUGCGCAGAUAUCAGGAGGAACACCGGUGGCGAAGGCGGGUCUCUGGGCCGAUACUGACGCUGAGGAGCGAAAGCGUGGGGAGCGAACAGG
rnacentral:rRNA from 1 species